GGAAGUAAAAAGUCGUAACAAGGUCUCCGUUGGUGAACCAGCGGAGGGAUCAUUAUCGAGUUUAUAACUCCCAAACCCUAUGUGAACUUACCACUUGUUGCUUCGGCGCGCGCUUCGGUGCCGCCGAGGACACUUAAACUCUUUGUUUUUAUAAGCAUUUCUGAGUGGCCGAAAGGCAAAAUACAAAUGAAUCAAAACUUUCAACAACGGAUCUCUUGGUUCUG
rnacentral:misc_RNA from 1 species